AUCCUACUCCCUCCGACCGGAAAUACUUGUCAUCAAAAUGAAUAAAAGGGGAUGUAUCUAGAUGUAUUUUAGUUCUAGAUACAUCCCUUUUUGUCUAAUUUGAUGACAAGUUUUUUCGGACGGAAGGAGUAUUUC
rfam:Triticum aestivum genome assembly, contig: Triticum_aestivum_CS42_TGACv1_scaffold_321206_4BL